GCGAGGGUGGCCGAGUUUGGCCAAAGGCGGUGGACUUAAGAUCCGCUCCCGUAGGGGUUCGCUGGUUCAAAUCCUGCCCCUCGCA
rnacentral:tRNA from 1 species